GCGUGACCGUGUGUGGGCGGAGAGAGCCCUUGUCCCGGGGAAGGCGAAGCUUCCCGGUCGGACUCUUCCCAGACAAAGGCCGGCAGAGGCGGGCGUUUCAGCGUUUCCAGGCCCUCCUGCCGGCGGGUGUUGGCAGCAGCCCCGAGGGGAGAGUGUGAAGAUGACGUGGUUUCUUGAGAUGCCAGAGCCCGAGAAGCCAGAGCCGAGGAGGAGAGUCCCGCGGUUGCUCAGCUGCCUAGAGGAGCGUGCUCCGGGCACCUGGUUUCAAUCUGUCUUUUCACAGGAAUGAUUGCCACUUGGAGAUGUGGCCACAGUGUUCGCCCAGGAGGAGUGCAGGUCCAGCAUUAGGUCCAGCUGGAAUCGUUCAGGGAUAUGAUGCCUGAAAACUGCAGACACUGGUCCCCUGGUGAGGACGCCUUCCCUCCAGAUUUCCUAAUCCACCCUUAUGUUUUCUUUCCUUGCUGUGUAGAGGUCUCAGACCCCUACUUAAAUUGAACAAGUGAGGGUUAGUUGUUGAAGAAAAACAAGUCUUCAUGGUGAUUCAUCCUGAACUUAACCUCCUUCUUUCUCCAGGUGAUCUGCAUCCUUCACUCUGCAUUACUGGUAAUUUCUAGAAAUUCAGUGGGGGAAAAAGCUUUGUUUUGCACAAUUUAAAAUCCAGUUUUGACCCCAUUCUUAAUCCUCAGAGUGACUUGGAAGUGGUAUCUGAUAAGCUAAUUUGGUUGCAUGGUCUGAAAGUUUAAUUUUGUUUUAUUUAGUUUGUUUCGCUUCUCAGUGUACCUACCACAUGUAAGUGAAAUCAUGCAUUUGUUUUUCUCUGUCUGAAUUAUUUCAUUAAGCGUAAUGCCCUGUAGAUCCAUCUAGCUAUUACAGAUUGUAGGAUUUUGUCUUGGUAAUAGUUGAAUGGUAGUAUGCUGGAUACAUGUACUUUUUUAAAAAAAAGAUUUAUGUAUUUAUGUAUACAAGAGAUGGGGUACAGGCCAGAGAUGUGGGGGGCUUGAGAGGAUCCACUAGAGACAAAGUGGGGGACAGAACAGGCAGAGUGACUGAAACACAGUGCCGACGGGAGCAGCGGGCGAGAAAGGAAAUGUCUGCUUCACCAUAUGAUUUCUCCCAGCUGGCCGGGGAUCGAACUCCUGCUGCAGAGGCUGUGGAUUGCUUCAUAUGUGGUGCCCAACCCCUGGCGCCACCAGGGAGGCCUGGGUACAUGUACUUUUUACACAAUAAUUGCUCAGUAACAGCUAGGUUGUUUCCAGCUCUUGGCUGUUGUAAAUAUGGGGUUGCACAUGUCUCUUUGAAUUUGUAUUAAUGUGUUCAUUGGGUAAAUAUCCAAAACUGGAAUAGCUGAAUUAUAUGGAAUUGUUUUAAUUUUUUCAAUUUAAUGUAUUUUUAUCGAAUUACCAUUAUUUUGCAUUUGUAAUCUUUUUUUCCCCACAAUACACGAUUUCUCCCCUCAGGUGUGGUCACCAUAACUGUCCCACCA